AAGUCGUAACAAGGUUUUCCGUGAGGUGCAGCCUGGCAGGAAGGAUUCAUUAGAGAGGAUAGGGUUCUUCGACUCGGCCCCAGACCCUCCAACCCUUUCUGAUUGUUUAAUCAAUCUUAUCCGUUGGUUGCUUUGGCCGGGACCGUCUCGGUCUCCGAGCGCACUAACCCUCGGGUUGGUGAGCGCCCGCCAGAGUCCAACCAAACUCUUGUAUUAAACCAGUCGUCUGAGUAUAAAAUUUUAAUUAAAUUAAAA
rnacentral:misc_RNA from 1 species